rnacentral:rRNA from 1 species
CAGCAGCCGCGGGAAUACGUAGGUGGCAAGCGUUGUCCGGAAUUAUUGGGCGUAAAGGGCUCGCAGGCGGUUUCUUAAGUCUGAUGUGAAAGCCCCCGGCUCAACCGGGGAGGGUCAUUGGAAACUGGGAAACUUGAGUGCAGAAGAGGAGAGUGGAAUUCCACGUGUAGCGGUGAAAUGCGUAGAGAUGUGGAGGAACACCAGUGGCGAGGGCGACUCUCUGGCCCGUAACUGACGCUGAGGAGCGAAAGCGUGGGGAGCGAACAGGAUUAGAUACCCCCGUAGUCCCUGUCUCUUAUAC